AUGGACCAUUCCAUCCCUUUUUCCCGUGCAUAUGCAUCGGACUCGGAUGACGAUGGUCCCGAUGAACAAGUUGAUGCGGAGGGGUUCACGGUGAAGGAGUCUGAAGCUUUCGAGAAGGUAUUCCGGGAUCAUCAGACUACAUUGUUCAAUUAUGUUAGUCUCGUGGAUGAAGCCGUGGUAGAUGGUGGCCAAUGUGUACCUCUUGGGGUUAGGCCAAGCUCUCACCGUGAUUUGGGAGACGACAAGAACCGGAUUGCUAAAGGUUCUAAGUUUGAAACCUUGUUGGAAUUGAAGAUGUGGCUCGACAACUACUCGGUUACGCAUUAUCGUCCACACAAGGUGGUGAACUCGGACGUCAAUGUGCGCUACACGGUUGCAUGUGCAUGUGAAGAUGAAAUAUGUCUGUGGAUUGUGCGUGCAAGACCAUGGAAAGGAGGUCCAACUUGGCAUGUAGUGAGUUGUGUGCCAACUCACAUGUGCCAGGGCAAAAGGGUGGAUGGCAAGAUUGUGUCCCAAGACCACAAACAACUCACGUCCGAGUUCAUCGCUUACAGGCUCUCCAACUCAAUAUCCACACUUCCAACAAUGAGCGUCCAACAUGUCAUUGACCUUGUGAAAGCCAUCUUUCAUUACAAGGUGAAGUACGACAAGGCAUGGAAGGCGAAGCAAGCCGCAUUUAAGAUGUUGUAUGGUACUUGGGGGAAGCAUACAACCGAAUCCCUAGGUUGUUGUUAG
rnacentral:rRNA from 1 species